rnacentral:rRNA from 1 species
CCUACGGGAGGCAGCAGUGAGGAAUAUUGGUCAAUGGCCGAGAGGCUGAACCAGCCAAGUCGCGUGAGGGAAGACGGCCCUACGGGUUGUAAACCUCUUUUGUCGGGGAGCAAAGCGAGUCACGUGUGACUCAUUGAGAGUACCCGAAGAAAAAGCAUCGGCUAACUCCGUGCCAGCAGCCGCGGUAAUACGGAGGAUGCGAGCGUUAUCCGGAUUUAUUGGGUUUAAAGGGAGCGUAGGUGGAUUGUUAAGUCAGUUGUGAAAGUUUGCGGCUCAACCGUAAAAUUGCAGUUGAAACUGGCAGUCGUGAGUACAGUAGAGGUGGGCGGAAUUCGUGGUGUAGCGGUGAAAUGCUUAGAUAUCACGAAGAACUCCGAUUGCGAAGGCAGCUCACUGGACUGCAACUGACACUGAGGCUCGAAAGUGUGGGUAUCAAACAGGAUUAGAUACCCUUGUAGUC